UGAGAACCUGCCUUAAGGUCGGGGAUAACAGUUGGAAACGACUGCUAAUACCGGAUGUGCCUACGGGUGAAAGAUUUAUUGCCUAAAGAUGGGCUCGCGUCUGAUUAGCUAGUUGGAGUGGUAAUGGCACACCAAGGCGACGAUCAGUAGCUGGUCUGAGAGGAUGAUCAGCCACACUGGGACUGAGACACGGCCCAGACUCCUACGGGAGGCAGCAGUGGGGAAUUUUCCGCAAUGGGCGAAAGCCUGACGGAGCAAGACCGCGUGAGGGAGGAAGGCUCUUGGGUUGUAAACCUCUUUUGUCAGGGAAGAACACAAUGACGGUACCUGACGAAUCAGCAUCGGCUAACUCCGUGCCAGCAGCCGCGGUAAUACGGAGGAUGCAAGCGUUAUCCGGAAUUAUUGGGCGUAAAGCGUCCGCAGGUGGUUGUACAAGUCUGCUGUCAAAGCGCGGAGCUUAACUCCGUAAAGGCGGUGGAAACUGUGCGACUAGAGUUCGGUAGGGGUCGCGGGAAUUCCCAGUGUAGCGGUGAAAUGCGUAGAUAUUGGGAAGAACACCGGUGGCGAAAGCGCGCGACUGGACCGAGACUGACACUCAUGGACGA
rnacentral:rRNA from 1 species